UACGGGGGGGGGCAAGCGUUGUUCGGAAUUACUGGGCGUAAAGGGCUCGUAGGCGGCCAACUAAGUCAGACGUGAAAAUCCCCUCGGCUUAACCGGGGGAACUGCAUCUGAUACUGGAUGGCUUGAGAUUGGGAGAGGGAUGCGGGAAUUCCAGGUGUAGCGGUGAAAUGCGUAGAUAUCUGGAGGAACACCGGUGGCGAAGGCGGCAUCCUGGACCAACACUGACGCUGAGGCGCGAAAGCUAGGGGGAGCGAACGGGG
rnacentral:rRNA from 1 species